rnacentral:rRNA from 1 species
UACGAAGGGGGCUAGCGUUGCUCGGAAUGACUGGGCGUAAAGGGCGCGUAGGCGGAUGGCUUUGUCGGGCGUGAAAUUCCAGGGCUUAACCUUGGGGCUGCGUUCGAGACGGGUUGUCUUGAGUGGGGAAGAGGGUCGUGGAAUUCCCAGUGUAGAGGUGAAAUUCGUAGAUAUUGGGAAGAACACCGGUGGCGAAGGCGGCGACCUGGGCCUUAACUGACGCUGAGGCGCGAAAGCGUGGGGAGCAAACAGG